UAUUGCCUACGGGGGGCAGCAGUGAGGAAUAUUGGUCAAUGGGCGGAAGCCUGAACCAGCCAAGUCGCGUGAGGGAAUAAGGCCCUACGGGUCGUAAACCUCUUUUGCCGGGGAGCAAGGGCCGGGACGAGUCCCGGUCCGGAGAGUACCCGGAGAAAAAGCAUCGGCUAACUCCGUGCCAGCAGCCGCGGCAAUACGGAGGAUGCGAGCGUUAUCCGGAUUUAUUGGGUUUAAAGGGUGCGUAGGCGGGCUUUUAAUUCAGCGGUAAAAAUUCGGGGCUCAACCCCUUCCGGCCGUUGAAACUG
rnacentral:rRNA from 1 species